GAUGAACGCGGGCGGCGUGCCUAAUACAUGCAAGUCGAGCGAACGGACGAGAAGCUUGCUUCUCUGAUGUUAGCGGCGGACGGGUGAGUAACACGUGGAUAACCUACCUAUAAGACUGGGAUAACUUCGGGAAACCGGAGCUAAUACCGGAUAAUAUUUUGAACCGCAUGGUUCAAAAGUGAAAGACGGUCUUGCUGUCACUUAUAGAUGGAUCCGCGCUGCAUUAGCUAGUUGGUAAGGUAACGGCUUACCAAGGCAACGAUGCAUAGCCGACCUGAGAGGGUGAUCGGCCACACUGGAACUGAGACACGGUCCAGACUCCUACGGGAGGCAGCAGUAGGGAAUCUUCCGCAAUGGGCGAAAGCCUGACGGAGCAACGCCGCGUGAGUGAUGAAGGUCUUCGGAUCGUAAAACUCUGUUAUUAGGGAAGAACAUAUGUGUAAGUAACUGUGCACAUCUUGACGGUACCUAAUCAGAAAGCCACGGCUAACUACGUGCCAGCAGCCGCGGUAAUACGUAGGUGGCAAGCGUUAUCCGGAAUUAUUGGGCGUAAAGCGCGCGUAGGCGGUUUUUUAAGUCUGAUGUGAAAGCCCACGGCUCAACCGUGGAGGGUCAUUGGAAACUGGAAAACUUGAGUGCAGAAGAGGAAAGUGGAAUUCCAUGUGUAGCGGUGAAAUGCGCAGAGACAUGGAGGAACACCAGUGGCGAAGGCGACUUUCUGGUCUGUAACUGACGCUGAUGUGCGAAAGCGUGGGGAUCAAACAGG
rnacentral:rRNA from 1 species